rnacentral:tRNA from 1 species
CCAGCCAUAGCUCAGUUGGCAGAGCGAAGGUUUGUAAUGGAUACCGGAUUGAAUCCACCUUAGGUCCCGUGUUCGAAUCACGGUGGCUGGA